rnacentral:rRNA from 1 species
AAGUCGUAACAAGGUCUCCGUUGGUGAACCAGCGGAGGGAUCAUUACAGAGUUGCAAAACUCCCACCAUUGUGAAUCUACCUAUAGUUGCUUCGGCGUAGGAACUCCUAACCUCAGUACUCUCGGGAGCUGUAGCUGGGCAGUUCCGCUCAGCGCCGACAGCCCAAAAACUCUUAUAUUUUAGGCCUCUCUGAGUAAAACAAAAAUAAGUUAAAACUUUCAACAACGGAUCUCUUGGUUCUGGCAUCGAUGAAGAACGCAGCGAAAUGCGAUAAGUAAUGUGAAUUGCAGAAUUCAGUGAAUCAUCGAAUCUUUGAACGCACAUUGCGCCCGCUAGUAUUCUGGCGGGCAUGCCUGUCCGAGCGUCAUUUCAACCAUCAAGCCCUAGGCUUGUGUUGGGGUUCUGCGGCUGUCCGCAGGCCCUGAAAAUCAGUGGCGGGCUCGUUGUCAAACCGAGUGCAGUAGUAAUAUUCUCUCUGGUCUUACAGCUUGUUCUUGCCGUAAAACAAUCCAAUUUCUAAGGUUGACCUCGGAUCAGGUAGGAAUACCCGCUGAACUUAAGCAUAUCAAUA